GACGAACGCUGGCGGCGUGCCUAAUACAUGCAAGUAGAACGCUGAAGCGAGGAGCUUGCUCUUCUUGGAUGAGUUGCGAACGGGUGAGUAACGCGUAGGUAACCUGCCUGGUAGCGGGGGAUAACUAUUGGAAACGAUAGCUAAUACCGCAUAAAAUUGAUUAUUGCAUGAUAAUUAAUUGAAAGAUGCAACUGCAUCACUACCAGAUGGACCUGCGUUGUAUUAGCUAGUUGGUGAGGUAACGGCUCACCAAGGCGACGAUACAUAGCCGACCUGAGAGGGUGAUCGGCCACCCUGGGACUGAGACACGGCCCAGACUCCUACGGGAGGCAGCAGUAGGGAAUCUUCGGCAAUGGGGGGAACCCUGACCGAGCAACGCCGCGUGAGUGAAGAAGGUUUUCGGAUCGUAAAGCUCUGUUGUAAGAGAAGAACGGGUGUGAGAGUGGAAAGUUCACACUGUGACGGUAGCUUACCAGAAAGAGACGGCUAACUACGUG
rnacentral:rRNA from 1 species